rnacentral:lncRNA from 1 species
AGUACUAAACCUUAGCCGUCUCUACGCUACGCACUCCUUAUCUCUAAAUUACGCUCUAUUCUGUUCUUUAUGGAAGGCAAGCCAUGUCCGAGACUCUGUUUUUACCCUACCUCAGCCCCACGUGUGUAGUAUAUGGGUCACGUGCGAACACUUCUUUAAAGAAAUAGCUUCCCAUAACAUCGAGCAAGGUAGGUGUUCCAUGGUUGCGUUAAAUCCCCAAGUUAUUUAUAUAAAAUAGAAUGGGUAACUUAUGCAAACAUUUUUAUAGCUUUUUGCAUUUAGAAAAAUGUCUCACCUCACAUUUAUGCCCAAAUUUUUAAGAAUGUUUCCAGUAUUCCGAUUUUAUACUUUUUACAUACAUCGGAUUGAGC